GGCUGGGGAGGGGGGAAGAAAGGAAGGAAAUGGUCAUGGGGAGCCAGUGGUAGUUCUUGGACUAGGAAAAUGGUGAUCUUCCUGUUUGAUGACAGGUCAUAGAGGAGGUGGUUUACUGGUGACAAUGGGUAAAGUGAGCUAAGCAAAUCCCAAGGAAGAAAAUAACUAACUGGAAAGGGAAAGUUACCUUUUAAGUGAGGAUUUAUUUUUGUAGGUGGACCCUUGCAUUUUUUUUUCCCAAAUAAUUCUGCCACACUUCAUAGACUUUUUCAUUCUCCUUCAGAGAAGAUGAGACAAAGUACUUGGGUGUGGGAUGUGGAGGAGAAAUGGGCUGAAAUGUCUACAAAAUUGGCUUAGCUUCCUCCUUCCUUUUACUAGUGAAAAAUCCUGUCUCUUGUCAGGCUGUGUCCUUUAGGCCCACGGCCGGAGGACUGCUGACGAAGCCCUGAGGAAGCUCAUGACCAGUCUUGUUUAGCUAGGAGGGCGGGAGGAAAACGUCGGGUGGCGCUGGACUCUGUGUUGCCGUGGUUGUUGUGGGCAACAUCCCAGCUCGGUACCCACAUUUUAUUUGCUUCAGCUCAUACUUGGGAGGUCAGGGAAGAGCAAAAGGAAGGUAAAGGAUUUGCAUCUACUGAACAAACCUUCGGCUAGUCCUCAGAUCAGCUUCCCCUUCUUCCCUACAGGUGAAAUUGAGAUAUUGGAAGACAUUCGGUUCUGAUCCGACUCUCCGCACUGGGGUUUUGGAGACCCCAGUCGUCUUCCUGUUCACAGUGGUCUUUAGUUAGUCACCUGGCUUCUAAUCAAUAGAUCCUAUACUGCCAUCAAAGCUGCAGAGAGGAUUGUCAGCACUUGCCUCCUGUCCUUCAGCUUUGAGGAGAAGACAUGUUAGAAACAGCAAGUCCCAUGGAUUCCUAACCUCUACUGCUCCUGGCCAUGAAUGGCCUGUCCCAGGGCAGGAGCCAGGCCCCAGGGUCGUACAAUGACCCGGAGCAUGGAUGCCUCUCUACAUGUUGCUUCCUAGGCAUCUUACUCUUCUUACUGGCUCUGACCUUUUCCCUCCCUCCUCUUAGCUUCUUCCACUCAGAGAACAGAGUUCAUACAAGAGAGUACAAGUUUCCUAUCAUCCUAAAAUUUCUUUGGUGAGUAUGAACCAGACAAACACCUAGUUUUUAUCCACAGAACAUAGAACCUCUAUCUGAUUGCUUCUCCUAACCUCCUUUCCCACUGGUAGACAUCUUGGGCCCUUGCUACAGAUGCUUUGUUUGAUCAAAAACUAUGUGGGCAUGUUCACAAAUGUUUGGAACUACUUUAUUCAUAAUAAUCCCAAGCCAGAAAUAACCCCAACAUCCACCAAAAGAAGAAUGGAUAGAUAAGCUGUAGUAUAUUCAUACAAUGGAAUGAAUACCUUAGGGAUUAAAAGCAAGGAACUAUUGAUAUAGACAAUGGCAUGAAUAGACCUCAAAAACAUCAUGUUGAGCAAAAGAAGCUGGAACAAUGAGCCAUACUGUGUGAUCCCUUUUGUUUGCAUUCCAUUUGUAGAAAGUUCGCUAAAAGGCAAAACUAAUCUGUAGUGAUAGAAAUCAGAACUGUGGAGGUGGGGUAGAUUGACCUCGAGAGGGCACCAGGGGCUUUCCGGGGUGGUGGAAAUGUUCCACAUCUUGAUUGGGGUGGUAGUUACGGGCAUAUAGGCAAUUGUCAAAACUCACCAAUCUAGAUGCUUCAGAUCUGUGUAUAAAUUAUAUUUAUUGCGUGUAAAUUACCCUUCAAUUUGAAAUAUUGGUAGUCUAAAAAAAUGGCAUAUCUGGUCAAACUGUUACACAAAUGACACAGAUGUCUCUUCAACCAGGCCUUCUGUCACCCUGAGCUGAGCUGAGCUACAAGCCCCCUUUCUCUGGGCUCCAAUUUGUACCAUUGCAUUUGCAUGCCAUAUUGGAAGUUUGUCUCCCCAUAAAUCUGAGCUCCCCAUAAAUCUGGGCCUGGUAUAGUGUCUGGCCCAGGAAGACACCCAUCACAUCCAAAGAGCCCCAGGAAAUCUCACCUCACCGAAUGGGUGCAUAGAGGGAAUAGGCACCAAGAAUUCUCUGGAGAGACCAAUUUCCAUGUGGCUGAAAAGUAAGGUAAAGCCCUUCCUGUGGUUGGAGGCUUCCCCAGAGGCCGCGGGGCCUGGUGGGGUUUUCCAUACUGGAGGACAUUUAAAGGGACUGAGGACAACAUUUAGGGUUGGCUGGCCCUGCAGAGUAUGAAACCAGAGCAUGUAGCCCCAGGAGGGAUGGAGGGAGAAGUGGCAGUGAGGAGGACAUCAUUACUUAGUUCAGGAAAAUGAAGAACAGCUGAUCAUUCUCCCCACUCCAAGAAAAAGAAAAAGGGAAGGAAUAAGAAAAAUUUAAAAGAAUUUUGGGGCUGAAAGUGUAUGCUUCCGUGUAUACACUGGUCUCAACGAAUUGCUUGGCAUUGCUGAAUAAAUCAACGCAUGGGGCGAUUAACUACUCAAAGAGAAGACACUGAAUAAGGAUCUGGGUGAGGGGUCAAGUGUCAGGUGGGUUCCCACACAGCAGAACGUGGUGCCAAAAGUCCAACUUUGAUGCGGUCAAGCAGGGUGGGACGCUGGUUUUGCAGAGACCUUGGAGGGAGUACAAAGGGCAGGGAGUCCAUUCAGGAUACCCAGAGUUUCUAAGCUGGAGGGGAAGCCAAAUCAAGAAGAAACAGCAGGCAAGAUACAAAGAAAAGGGCAGGGGCUCAGGCAGCUGGCAGCCCAGGUGAAUUUCCCUGCAGGUGUUGGCGUGGCUGGUUCCGGCCUACCUGAGUAUCUAUCUGCCUUGGCCUCCCCUGGGUAGGGCGGUGCCAGGCUGGAGUGGAAAGGGGAGAGAUUGCCAAGAACAGUCCCUUCCUUCAUGUAACUUACAAUCAGGUUGCAAAGACAAGACAAAGAAGAUGACACAUAAAUCAAUUCAAGAGAAGAAUGGAAGAGAAGUCAUAAAGGAAUAUGUGAUUAAUUGCUUAGUGAUGGAUAUAGAAUAUAAGGGUGAGAAUCAUGUCAGUCCAGCCCAGGAUCACAAGCUGGAAUGUCUGCGGGGAGCAGACAGAUCAUAUAAACAAGAGACUCAAGCCAAUUUGUAUUCUUUCAUCACAAGCAGUGGACAUGAAGAUUAAGUAGCCAGGAAGACUCAGCACUUCCUCCAAAAAAUAUGCUGUCUCCCAUUUUACUUAAAUCCUCAGCUCGUCAGUCAAUCUGUUUUCCCACUUUUGAUGGAGAUAUGGAUCCUGAGAAGCAUCUUCCAUAACAAGGAAAACAAGAGUGCAUAGUGAUGAUGAAAGGAAACUGGUGCUCAUUCUUGGUUUACAGAAGACAACAGAGAGGGACAGAUAUGGUGGCAACCAACCUGCAGGGGGCAUGCCUUUCAGAAGUGGUGGCCCCUGGGGGACAUCAGGCGAUUUUGACAGUGUUGUCAUUUAUUCUCACUUUUCAAGAGAUGCCUGAAAUCCAGAUUCUAUGUGAAAUCUCUGAAUUUUUAAAUAAGGACCUUAAUUUUUUGUUGUUGUUGUUGUUGAAGAAGAUUCGCUGACGUCUGUG